rnacentral:rRNA from 1 species
CUGUUGGUGCUGAUAUCGUCUGGACCUAAGGAUGAGCCGAAGGCGAUUCCGAUGGACAACGGGUUAAUAUUCCCGUACUGUUUGCAUUGCGAUGGAGGGACGCAGGAGUGACACUGCCGCCACGAGACGGAAUUCGUGGUUAAAGGGUGUAGGGAAACCGAAGCCCGACAGUACCGCAAGGCCCCGGCCGAGCGGAUAGUGCAGGUAAUCAAGCUGCCUAGAAAAGCUCCUAAGCUUCAGAUGCAAAUACCAGUACCGUAAACCGACACAGGUGGUCGAGGAGAGUAUCCUAAGGCGCUCGAGUGAUUCACAGCUAAGGAACUCGGCAAAUUCGUCCUGUAACUUCGGGAGAAGGGACGCCUACCCUCGCGAGAGGGAGGCCGCAGUGAAGAGGCCCAGGCGACUGUUUAGCAAAAACAUAUGGCUUUGCGAGUUCGAAAGACGACGUAUAAGGCCUGACACCUGCCCGGUGCUGGAAGGUUAAGAGGGGGGGUCAUCCGCAAGGUGAAGCUCUGAAUCGAAGCCCCAGUAAACGGCGGCCGUAACUAUAACGGUCCUAAGGUAGCGAAAUUCCUUGUCGGGUAAGUUCCGACCUGCACGAAUGGUGUAACGAUCUGGGCACUGUCUCGGCUGUGAGCUCGUGAAAUUGUACUGCCGGUGAAGAUGCCGGCUACCCGCAAUGGGACGAAAAGACCCCGUGAACCUUCACUACAGCUUUGCAUUGACAACGGGCCAGGGAUGUGUAGGAUAGGUGGGAGGCUGCGAACCGGUAUCGCCAGGUAUCGGGGAGCCAGCGGUGAAAUACCACCCUUCCCUUGCUUGUUGCCUAACCCCGCGAGGGAGACAGUGCAUGGCGGGUAGUUUGACUGGGGUGGUCGCCUCCAAAAGGGUAACGGAGGCUUCCAAAGGUCUGCUCAGCACGCUUGGUAACCGUGCUAGAGUGCAAUAGCAUAAGCAGGCUUGACUGAGAGACUUACAAGUCGCACAGGUAGGAAACUAGGGUAUAGUGAUCCGGCGGUACCGCGUGGAAGGGCCGUCGCUCAAAGGAUAAAAGGUACUCCGGGGAUAACAGGCUGAUCUCCCCCAAGAGCUCAUAUCGACGGGGAGGUUUGGCACCUCGAUGUCGGCUCGUCACAUCCUGGGGCUGGAGAAGGUCCCAAGGGUUCGGCUGUUCGCCGAUUAAAGUGGCACGCGAGCUGGGUUCAGGACGUCGCGAGGCAGUUCGGUCUCUAUCUAUUGCGGGCGUUAGACGUUUGAGAGGGGCUGGCCUUAGUACGAGAGGACCGGGUCGGACGAACCUCUGGUGCACCUGUUGUGACGCCAGUUGCAGCGCAGGGUAGCUAUGUUCGGAAGAGAUAAGCACUGAAAGCAUCUAAGUGCGAAACUCGCCUCAAGAUGAGACGUCUUUAUAAGGGUCCUGGGAGACGACCAGG